rnacentral:rRNA from 1 species
CAGGAAUCUAAGAGCAUAUGGUGGAUGCCUUGGCUCUCUAAGGCGAUGAAGGACGCAGCGUGGCGGCGAUAUGUCUCGGGGAGGUGCCUAGCAACCUUCGAUCCGAGAAUUUCCGAAUGGGGAAACCCGAUCCGAUCAAAAUCGGAUCGCCCCGACUUAAGGUCGGGGCGCAUACCCAGGGAAGUGAAACAUCUCAGUACCUGGAGGAAGAGAAACUAAAUAAAGCAUUCCGUCAGUAGCGGCGAGNNNNNNNNNNNNNNNNNNNNNNNNNNNNNNNNNNNNNNNNCGCGCGGACAGUCGCAGACUGGACGCGGACUUACGCAGAAGGAAUACAAAUGCAUUAAUUUUUUGCAUUUUGAAUUUUUUCUGCGUCGGUCUGCGUGAUGUCAGCGUAGGUCGGCGCGCCAAUGCUACGCGUUGGCGAGGUUGUAGGGAAACAACGUGGUUUUAUUACUAGAGAAGUAAAAAAAGAAAAUAUUAGCUUAAGCUGUUGGAAAGCAGCGCCAGAGGAGGUGAUAGCCCCAUGAGCGAAAAUAUUUUCUCUUCUUUGUUGUUUUACCUGAGUACCUCAAGACACGAAUAGCUUGAGGGAAUCUGCCGGAACUAACCGGUAAGGCUAAAUACUUAGAGAGACCGAUAGUGAACUAGUACCGCGAGGGAAAGGUGAAAAGCAGCCCGAUUAGGGCGAUGAAAUAGACCUGAAACCAUAUGCUUACAAGGAGUCAGAGCCGUGGCUCACUUUAGUGAAGCCACGGAAAUUCCAAAUUCCAAUUUCCAAAUCACAAAUAAAUCCCAAAUUUCAAAUUCAAAAUCCCAAACGAAUCCGUUUGGAAUUUAGAGUUUAGUGUUUGGAAUUUGUUUGUAAUUUGUUGCUUGGUGCUUGGUGUUUCCGUGNNNNNNNNNNNUCAUGGCGUGCCUAUUGAAGAAUGAGCCAACGAGUUUAUCUUAGCCCUUUGUCUAAUCCUUUAAACGGGAUGAGGCACAGGGAAACCGAGUCUGAAUAGGGCGAUGUUUUUGGCGUAAGCUAAAAACAGAGGGCUGGGAUAAGACCCGAAACCAGGUGAGCUACCCAUGGGCAGGAUGAAAGCCGCAGAAAUGCGGCUGGAGGUCCGAACCGGUGAGUCGUACAACGCUCUCGGAUGACCUGUGGGUUGGAGUGAAAAGCUUAUCGAACCUGGUAAUAGCUGGUUCUCUCCGAAAUAGCUUUUGGGCUAGCGUCAAGUGUUCCUUCCGGGGGUAGAGCACUGGAAGAAUCGAAUAGGGAGAAAUCUCGUCUAUUCUAUCAAACUCCGAAUACCGGAAGUUAUAGCUUGGCAGUUAGACUGUGGGGGCGAAGCUCCACUUAGUCAAAAGGAGAAGAGUCCUGAUCUCAAGUUAAGGUCCCAAAAUUUACGCUAAGUGCAUCUUAAGGAGGUGAGGUUUCCCUGACAGUGAGGAUGUUGGCUUAGAAGCAGCCAUCAUUUAAAGAAAGCGUAACAGCUCACUCAUCGAGAGAUCUUGCGCCGCAGAUAAUCGGGGCUAA